rnacentral:lncRNA from 1 species
ACCUGGACCCGGAAGAGCCCUUUCAAGUCAUGUAGACCAAACCCUUUGAUUGAAGAACUAAGGUUAACAGAGGUCAGGCGAAUUUCCAAGGCCGGACAAUUGGUAAGGAAACUGAGCCACAAAGAUACAUUAAAGAUGACAUUGCCUAAACUCACAAGGAAAUACAUGGCUAAAGAAGGAUUUGAACUCAGGGACACUGAAGAGUUUAUCUUUAGAUUAUAUUCUUCGGGAUCAUAUAAGAAUAUUAGAAACUGGGAAGCAAAGAGAACUCUGCAUUCUGGCCCAGGGUGGAUCUUUGUUUUCCUUUACAAUAUUAACACAUGCAUCUGGCAAGAACAAACCCAACCCAACACAACUGUUCCCCGUCUCAUAAAGUGUAGUGACAUGUUUUGCAGAUCAGAUAAUACAUCAAAAUACCUUUGCUGUUAUGUUCAGAAGCAAAUGAUUAUUUCAAUUAAAAGCAUUAAUUAA